rnacentral:lncRNA from 1 species
UAAUAUGAUAAUCAUAAAAUUGGAUUUAAAAAACAAAAAACAAAAUAAAAUAAAUGCUCAAUCUUCUAGUGCGGCUCCAACUCUUCCUCCUCCUCCGUUCUUUUUUCUUCUUCUUCUUCUUCUUCUCGAACCCCUCGUCUAUCAUAAUGUGGACCAAUCUGACCAAUCUGAAUCGUACAAUAAGUCAGACAAUCAAUCAUGCCAAUCUGAACUUUGUCUUUUCAAAUUCCCCGUAUACUGGUCAAUCUAAGUUGUUGGAUGACAGAUAUGGUAGGGGAAGCAUGGAUUGUGGGUGCAGAAUGAUUAGGAGAAAGAGAUUCAAGAAGAAAUAGAGGAAUGAAACCGAUUGGGAAAGCUAUCAACCACAAUUAAGAUUGAAAUCGAAUCAGAUUUCCCUCUCUUAUUAUAGUAUUUUGUUCUUCCCUAAUUUUUAGGGUUCUUCCAUAGUCCUUUGUCAUGAUGGACGAGUUUGGAAGAGAAUGAAGAAGAAUAAGCUGAUGGAUUUUGUUUAAAUCAUGAUGAUGGAAGAGUUUGAU